UACGGAGGGGACUAGCGUUGUUCGGAAUUACUGGGCGUAAAGCGCACGUAGGCGGAUUUGUAAGUCAGGGGUGAAAUCCCGGGGCUCAACCUCGGAACUGCCUUUGAUACUGAAGAUCUUGAGUUCGGGAGAGGUGAGUGGAACUGCGAGUGUAGAGGUGAAAUUCGCAGAUAUUCGCAAGAACACCAGUGGCGAAGGCGGCUCACUGGCCCGAUACCGACGCUGAGGCACGAAAGCGUGGGGAGCAAACAGG
rnacentral:rRNA from 1 species